GAUGAACGCUGGCGGCGUGCCUAAUACAUGCAAGUCGAGCGAACAGACGAGGAGCUUGCUCCUCUGACGUUAGCGGCGGACGGGUGAGUAACACGUGGAUAACCUACCUAUAAGACUGGGAUAACUUCGGGAAACCGGAGCUAAUACCGGAUAAUAUAUUGAACCGCAUGGUUCAAUAGUGAAAGACGGUUUUGCUGUCACUUAUAGAUGGAUCCGCGCCGCAUUAGCUAGUUGGUAAGGUAACGGCUUACCAAGGCAACGAUGCGUGGCCGACCUGAGAGGGUGAUCGGCCACACUGGAACUGAGACACGGUCCAGACUCCUACGGGAGGCAGCAGUAGGGAAUCUUCCGCAAUGGGCGAAAGCCUGACGGAGCAACGCCGCGUGAGUGAUGAAGGUCUUCGGAUCGUAAAACUCUGUUAUUAGGGAAGAACAAAUGUGUAAGUAACUAUGCACGUCUUGACGGUACCUAAUCAGAAAGCCACGGCUAACACGUG
rnacentral:rRNA from 1 species